UCCCCAGCACCCAGCCUCUAUAAAUCAGAAGCCCGAGCCAACGCCGCCACCAUCCCCGUUCGUCCCCAACUCGCCAAAUCCGCAGCCGCCGCAAGCACAGAGACCCUCUAGAUCGAGCGCGAGCUCCACCCCCGCCGCCGCGAUGAGGGCCAAGUGGAAGAAGAAGAGAAUGAGGAGGCUCAAAAGGAAGCGCCGAAAGAUGAGGCAGAGAUCCAAGUAGGCUUGCCUGGAGGAUGAAGGGAACUGUCUGUUGCAUUGUGACCUAGGCUUGUUAGGAUGAUCACCCCGACGUGCUUUGGUGUAGAUGCAGGAGAUGUUUACCUUCUUGGGGUCUAGUUUUAUUUUUAGCUCAUCAAAACUCUGGUCAUGUUCUAAGGCUGGGUUUUAUGUAAUGUGAGGAUAAUAUGUUGCUUUGUGACUGAGUUUAUGCAGUUAAACGAGAUUUCUGGCACUAAAAAAUAUACUUACUGCCUAUCUGUUACCCUUGUGA